rnacentral:rRNA from 1 species
AACGAACGCUGGCGGCAGGCUUAACACAUUCAAGUCGAGCGCCCCGCAAGGGGAGCGGCAGACGGGUGAGUAACGCGUGGGAAUCUACCCAUCUCUACGGAAUAACGCAUGGAAACGUGUGCUAAUACCGUAUACGUCCUUCUGGAGAAAGAUUUAUCGGAGCUGGAUGAGCCCGCGUUGGAUUAGCUAGUUGGUGGGGUAAAGGCCUACCAAGGCGACGAUCCAUAGAUGGUCUGACAGGAUGAUCAGCCACACUGGGACUGAGACACGGCCCAGACUCCUACGGGAGGCAGCAGUGGGGAAUAUUGGACAAUGGGCGAAAGCCUGAUCCAGCCAUGCCGCGUGAGUGAUGAAGGCCCUAGGGUUGUAAAGCUCUUUCACCGGUGAAGAUAAUGACGGUAACCGGAGAAGAAGCCCCGGCUAACUUCGUGCCAGCAGCCGCCGUAACAC